rnacentral:lncRNA from 1 species
AUGCUGCCCUCCGCGCCCCGACCCUGCCGGCGGUGCUGCCCCCCGCGCCCCGACCCUGCCGGGGAUGCUGCCCUCCGCGCCCCGACCCUGCCGGGGAUGCUGCCCCCCGCGCCCCGACCCUGCCGGGGAUGCUGCCCUCCGCGCCCCGACCCUGCAGGGGAUGCUGCCCCCCGCGCCCCGACCCUGCCGGCGGUGCUGCCCCCCGCGCCCCAACCCUGCCGGGGAUGCUGCCCUCCGCGCCCCGACCCUGCCGGCGGUGCUGCCCCCCGCGCCCCGACCCUGCCGGGGAUGCUGCCCUCCGCGCCCCGACCCUGCCGGGGAUGCUGCCCUCCGCGCCCCGACCCUGCAGGGGAUGCUGCCCCCCGCGCCCCGACCCUGCCGAUGGUGCUGCCCCCCGCGCCCAGACGGAGCCCCUCGCAGCGGCCGCGGCCGAGCACAGGGGCCGGGCGGACUCUGCGCCCCGACAGCAGUCCCCGACCCGGACCCGCAGGGCCCCCGGCAGCGGCCCCCGCAGCGCAGCCCGCGCGGUUCCCGGCUGCAGGGCGGACGCGGGCGAAGCGCGGGAGGGAAGAGCGUCCGCGGCGGCCGAGCCCAGCAGCCCCAGCCCAGGGGAGCCGCGAGCCCGCACGGCCCCGCACGCCGCCGCCCCCGCGAGCCGGGAUGAAGGUCAGCGCCGGGUCCCCCCGCCCCGCACCGGCCGGACGCGGGCUCCGGGACGGGCUCCGGGGAGGAGGCCCCGCCACGCGCCGACAUACCUGCUGCCUGGGCCGGGAUCCGCUCUGCUCUGCGGCGGCGCGGCUCGCGCUCUCGGGCCCCCGGGCUCCCGGCUCCGGGCCGCGGCCUCCGCUCCUCCGCCCCCCGCGCUCGGGGCGCGCGCGGCCUCGUCCUCCGGCUCCCGGGCCCGCGCCUGCGCCCUCGCUCCGCCGCCCGCGCCCCGCGCGCCCGCGCCCCGCUCCUCCGCGCGCACGCGCCCCGGCGGCCGUCCCGGAGCCCGCGGGGGGAGGGGGAGGGGGAGGGGGGGAGGGGAGGGAGGGGAGGGCGCGCUCCGUGCAGCCCGCACAGCUCCCGCAGGUGUUGGCUCCGUCCCGCUGUGCCCCGGGGCCUCUGACCCCCGGUGCCCGCUGUCAGGGCCCGCCUGCCGGGCCUCGGCCGGGACCCCCGGACGCCCGCGCUCCUUAG